rnacentral:rRNA from 2 species
UUUAUGGAGAGUUUGAUCCUGGCUCAGGAUGAACGCUGGCGGCGUGCCUAAUACAUGCAAGUCGAGCGAACGGACGAGAAGCUUGCUUCUCUGAUGUUAGCGGCGGACGGGUGAGUAACACGUGGAUAACCUACCUAUAAGACUGGGAUAACUUCGGGAAACCGGAGCUAAUACCGGAUAAUAUUUUGAACCGCAUGGUUCAAAAGUGAAAGACGGUCUUGCUGUCACUUAUAGAUGGAUCCGCGCUGCAUUAGCUAGUUGGUAAGGUAACGGCUUACCAAGGCAACGAUGCAUAGCCGACCUGAGAGGGUGAUCGGCCACAUUGGAACUGAGACACGGUCCAGACUCCUACGGGAGGCAGCAGUAGGGAAUCUUCCGCAAUGGGCGAAAGCCUGACGGAGCAACGCCGCGUGAGUGAUGAAGGUCUUCGGAUCGUAAAACUCUGUUAUUAGGGAAGAACAUAUGUGUAAGUAACUGUGCACAUCUUGACGGUACCUAAUCAGAAAGCCACGGCUAACUACGUGCCAGCAGCCGCGGUAAUACGUAGGUGGCAAGCGUUAUCCGGAAUUAUUGGGCGUAAAGCGCGCGUAGGCGGUUUUUUAAGUCUGAUGUGAAAGCCCACGGCUCAACCGUGGAGGGUCAUUGGAAACUGGAAAACUUGAGUGCAGAAGAGGAAAGUGGAAUUCCAUGUGUAGCGGUGAAAUGCGCAGAGAUAUGGAGGAACACCAGUGGCGAAGGCGACUUUCUGGUCUGUAACUGACGCUGAUGUGCGAAAGCGUGGGGAUCAAACAGGAUUAGAUACCCUGGUAGUCCACGCCGUAAACGAUGAGUGCUAAGUGUUAGGGGGUUUCCGCCCCUUAGUGCUGCAGCUAACGCAUUAAGCACUCCGCCUGGGGAGUACGACCGCAAGGUUGAAACUCAAAGGAAUUGACGGGGACCCGCACAAGCGGUGGAGCAUGUGGUUUAAUUCGAAGCAACGCGAAGAACCUUACCAAAUCUUGACAUCCUUUGACAACUCUAGAGAUAGAGCCUUCCCCUUCGGGGGACAAAGUGACAGGUGGUGCAUGGUUGUCGUCAGCUCGUGUCGUGAGAUGUUGGGUUAAGUCCCGCAACGAGCGCAACCCUUAAGCUUAGUUGCCAUCAUUAAGUUGGGCACUCUAAGUUGACUGCCGGUGACAAACCGGAGGAAGGUGGGGAUGACGUCAAAUCAUCAUGCCCCUUAUGAUUUGGGCUACACACGUGCUACAAUGGACAAUACAAAGGGCAGCGAAACCGCGAGGUCAAGCAAAUCCCAUAAAGUUGUUCUCAGUUCGGAUUGUAGUCUGCAACUCGACUACAUGAAGCUGGAAUCGCUAGUAAUCGUAGAUCAGCAUGCUACGGUGAAUACGUUCCCGGGUCUUGUACACACCGCCCGUCACACCACGAGAGUUUGUAACACCCGAAGCCGGUGGAGUAACCUUUUAGGAGCUAGCCGUCGAAGGUGGGACAAAUGAUUGGGGUGAAGUCGUAACAAGGUAGCCGUAUCGGAAGGUGCGGCUGGAUCACCUCCUUUCU